rnacentral:rRNA from 1 species
GUGCCAGCAGCCGCGGUAAUACGAAGGGGGCUAGCGUUGCUCGGAAUCACUGGGCGUAAAGCGCACGUAGGCGGAUUGCUAAGUCAGGGGUGAAAUCCUGGAGCUCAACUCCAGAACUGCCUUUGAUACUGGCGAUCUUGAGUCCGGGAGAGGUGAGUGGAACUGCGAGUGUAGAGGUGAAAUUCGUAGAUAUUCGCAAGAACACCAGUGGCGAAGGCGGCUCACUGGCCCGGUACUGACGCUGAGGUGCGAAAGCGUGGGGAGCAAACAGGAUUAGAAACCCUCGUAGUCC